rnacentral:rRNA from 1 species
AUGACUAGAGACAACCUUAGGAAAAGGCAUGUGAUCAAGCCGCUGGAUUAUGUCUUCUGUGCGGAGCAAGAAACAAACCAUCAUUUAUUUUUUGACUGUGUUGUAGCCAAAAAUAUAUGGUCGUUUGUCAAUCUCUUUUUCCAAAAGAACUUGGGUGCAAACUUUGAAUCUGUGGCCUGACUCUGGGUCUCUAAUAAAAAGAAUUUAGCUUUGAACGUAGUUAGUUCUGCUGUCCUUUGGUGUUUAUGGAAAUAUAGGAACUCUAUGAUUUUUAACAACACCACUUGGACAUCUAUCAUUCAGGUGUGGAGACUGAUACACAGGAUGAUCAAGUACUGGGUGAUUCUGAUCCCAGAAGCAAGCAAAGCCCGCGAGGAAGAGUUCUUGAGUGCGCUGGCGAAGCUACUCCAGCAACCCCUGAUGAUAUCAUGUGGCUGA